AUGCAAGUCGAACGAUGAAGCCCUUCGGGGUGGAUUAGUGGCGAACGGGUGAGUAACACGUGGGCAAUCUGCCCUUCACUCUGGGACAAGCCCUGGAAACGGGGUCUAAUACCGGAUAAUACUCCUGCCUGCAUGGGUGGGGGUUGAAAGCUCCGGCGGUGAAGGAUGAGCCCGCGGCCUAUCAGCUUGUUGGUGGGGUAAUGGCCCACCAAGGCGACGACGGGUAGCCGGCCUGAGAGGGCGACCGGCCACACUGGGACUGAGACACGGCCCAGACUCCUACGGGAGGCAGCAGUGGGGAAUAUUGCACAAUGGGCGAAAGCCUGAUGCAGCGACGCCGCGUGAGGGAUGACGGCCUUCGGGUUGUAAACCUCUUUCAGCAGGGAAGAAGCGAAAGUGACGGUACCUGCAGAAGAAGCGCCGGCUAACUACGUGCCAGCAGCCGCGGUAAU
rnacentral:rRNA from 1 species